UGCUCAGAUUGAACGCUGGCGGCAGGCCUAACACAUGCAAGUCGAACGGUAGCACAGAGAGCUUGCUCUCGGGUGACGAGUGGCGGACGGGUGAGUAAUGUCUGGGAAACUGCCCGAUGGAGGGGGAUAACUACUGGAAACGGUAGCUAAUACCGCAUAACGUCGCAAGACCAAAGUGGGGGACCUUCGGGCCUCACACCAUCGGAUGUGCCCAGAUGGGAUUAGCUAGUAGGUGGGGUAAUGGCUCACCUAGGCGACGAUCCCUAGCUGGUCUGAGAGGAUGACCAGCCACACUGGAACUGAGACACGGUCCAGACUCCUACGGGAGGCAGCAGUGGGGAAUAUUGCACAAUGGGCGCAAGCCUGAUGCAGCCAUGCCGCGUGUAUGAAGAAGGCCUUCGGGUUGUGAAGUACUUUCAGCGGGGAGGAAGGCGGUG
rnacentral:rRNA from 1 species